AUGAGGAACACCGGUGGCGAAAGCGGCUCUCUGGGAUCUUUCUGACGCUGAGGCACGAAAGCUAGGGGAGCGAACGGGAUUAGAUACCCCGGUAGUCCUAGCUGUAAACGAUCUGUACUAGUCCGUGGGGACCCCCACAUCUUCUCGGACGUAGCGAAAGUGUUAAGUACAGCGCCUGGGGAGUAUGGUCGCAAGGCUGAAACUCAAGGGAAUUGACGGGGGCUCACACAAGCGGUGGAGGAUGUGGCUUAAUUCGAGGCUACGCGAAGAACCUUACCUAGGCUUAACAUGUUUGAGAACGUCUGUGAAAGCAGAAAGUGCCCUUCGGGGAGCUCUUACGUAGGUGCUGCAUGGCUGUCGUCAGCUCGUGUCGUGAGAUGUCGGGUUAAGUCCCUUAACGAGCGAAACCCUUGUCUUUAGUUGCCAGCGAGUAAUGUCGGGGACUCUAAAGAGACUGCCGGUGUUAAACCGGAGGAAGGUGGGGAUGACGUCAAGUCCUCAUGGCCUUUAUGCCUAGGGUUGCACACGUCCUACAAUGCAACGUACAAAGCGACGCUAAAUCGCGAGAUCACGCAAACCGCAAAAAACGUUGCUCAGUUCGGAUUGCAGGCUGAAAUUCGCCUGCAUGAAGCCGGAAUCGCUAGUAAUCGCGGGUCAGCAUACCGCGGUGAAUGUGUUCCUGAGCCUUGUACACACCGCCCGUCAAGCCACGAAAGUUGGGGGGGCCCGAAGUCGCGAUGCUAACCGCAAGGAGGCUAGCGCCGAAGGUCAACUCGAUGAUUGGGACU
rnacentral:rRNA from 1 species